AGCACCCUUUGGGGUGUGACUGCGUACCUUUUGUAUAAUGGGUCAGCGACUUAUAUUCUGUAGCAAGGUUAACCGUAUAGGGGAGCCGGAGGGAAACCGAGUCUUAAUUGGGCGUUAAGUUGCAGGGUAUAGACCCGAAACCCGGUGAUCUAGCCAUGGGCAGGUUGAAGGUUGGGUAACACUAACUGGAGGACCGAACCGACUAAUGUUGAAAAAUUAGCGGAUGACCUGUGGCUGGGGGUGAAAGGCCAAUCAAACCGGGAGAUAGCUGGUUCUCCCCGAAAGCUAUUUAGGUAGCGCCUCGUGAAUUCAUCUCCGGGGGUAGAGCACUGUUUCGGCUAGGGGGCCAUCCCGGCUUACCAACCCGAUGCAAACUGCGAAUACCGGAGAAUGUUAUCACGGGAGACACACGGCGGGUGCUAACGUCCGUCGUGAAGAGGGAAACAACCCAGACCGCCAGCUAAGGUCCCAAAGUCAUGGUUAAGUGGGAAACGAUGUGGGAAGGCCCAGACAGCCAGGAUGUUGGCUUAGAAGCAGCCAUCAUUUAAAGAAAGCGUAAUAGCUCACUGGUCGAGUCGGCCUGCGCGGAAGAUGUAACGGGGCUAAACCAUGCACCGAAGCUGCGGCAGCGACACUCAGGUGUUGUUGGGUAGGGGAGCGUUCUGUAAGCCUGCGAAGGUGGCCUGUGAGGGUUGCUGGAGGUAUCAGAAGUGCGAAUGCUGACAUAAGUAACGAUAAAGCGGGUGAAAAGCCCGCUCGCCGGAAGACCAAGGGUUCCUGUCCAACGUUAAUCGGGGCAGGGUGAGUCGACCCCUAAGGCGAGGCCGAAAGGCGUAGUCGAUGGGAAACGGGUUAAUAUUCCCGUACUUGGUGUUACUGCGAAGGGGGGACGGAGAAGGCUAUGUUGGCCGGGCGACGGUUGUCCCGGUUUAAGCGUGUAGGUGUGUGUUCCAGGUAAAUCCGGUUCACUUUAACACUGAGGUGUGACGACGAGGCACUACGGUGCUGAAGCAACAAAUGCCCUGCUUCCAGGAAAAGCCUCUAAGCAUCAGGUAACAUCAAAUCGUACCCCAAACCGACACAGGUGGUCAGGUAGAGAAUACCAAGGCGCUUGAGAGAACUCGGGUGAAGGAACUAGGCAAAAUGGUGCCGUAACUUCGGGAGAAGGCACGCUGACACGUAGGUGAAGUGAUUUACUCAUGGAGCUGAAGUCAGUCGAAGAUACCAGCUGGCUGCAACUGUUUAUUAAAAACACAGCACUGUGCAAACACGAAAGUGGACGUAUACGGUGUGACGCCUGCCCGGUGCCGGAAGGUUAAUUGAUGGGGUCAGCGCAAGCGAAGCUCCUGAUCGAAGCCCCGGUAAACGGCGGCCGUAACUAUAACGGUCCUAAGGUAGCGAAAUUCCUUGUCGGGUAAGUUCCGACCUGCACGAAUGGCGUAAUGAUGGCCAGGCUGUCUCCACCCGAGACUCAGUGAAAUUGAACUCGCUGUGAAGAUGCAGUGUACCCGCGGCAAGACGGAAAGACCCCGUGAACCUUUACUAUAGCUUGACACUGAACAUUGAGCCUUGAUGUGUAGGAUAGGUGGGAGGCUUUGAAGUGUGG
rnacentral:rRNA from 1 species